ensembl:lncRNA
GUACAGUGGCAUCUUGAAGGAGGGAAUGAGGGGGCUUUCACUCAUGGUUUCAAACUAGAUUUCUGUUAAGGAUUCAUUGCCAGGUCUUCCUUUUAGGUGCAACCAGGUCACAGGCAGACAUUUUCCUCAAUUCUCACUCGAAAGCAUCAACACCCCAAAGAGAAGCCAUGAAGCCAGUGAUCGUGCUGUACGUUGCGCUGAUGAUGAUUGCACUGGUGUGCAAUGCUUAUGCUGCAUGUGAGAAUGGAUGGUGUACCAAGAGAUGUGGUCGUAAUGAAUAUAGAGACCACAAUUCAUACUGUGGGGGUGGAAAUAUAUGCUGUGUUGAAAAAGGCAAUUGAAGAACAUCCGUGAAGGAAGACUGUGUGGAUCAACCAACAUGCAUUGUUGUUUUUUUUCUUCUUCCAUUUAAGUUGACACAAGACAUGGAGUAAUCAUGAUUUGUGUUUAAGCCUGUUUGAUGCCAGUUUGAAUAAAAUUAAAUUUCAUAACUAUGAGUACCUGUGCAUUCAUGUCAUAUUUUUUAGAUUUAGAAAUACACAUGAGGGUUUUACAGAAAUUAUUUGAAUGUGCUUAUUCUAUUGUCCAGGGACCUUGACAUCAUAC